UAGAACUGUUCAACAAUAACAAACUUCUAGGUUAUAUUUAUAUUUUAUAUGAACAUCCCCCAAUUCCCACAGUUUUUAAACACCGAUCCCAAUUAAUUUUAUCAGAUAAAUAAAUCAUGUGUACUACUUUCGUUAAAAAUAUACAAACAACUCCAAUAACAAGUAAAACAAUAUUUUCAAAUCAAUUUGGUAGUAAAUUAACUGAUGCUCACUUCGCUACCAGUAAUCUAAGAGACAAUGUCAGAUGAUGAGCAUACUGAUGUCAAGUUAGUAUUGGAUCGAGAUCUGUUGGCCGGAAGCCCAGAAUAUUAAAUCAAGAUGAAAUUGAAUGACCAGUAUCUUGUUCUAUGACUGCUGGUACUAUUGAGUAAUUUUUCAGAAAUAAGUGAUAGCAAACAACAAGAUAUUAAUACUUAUCAUUUAUCACCAAUUACUACAUUAUCGUAAUCCGAAGAUUAUGAAUUGGUCUUUGUUUGGGGGAAAAAUAAAAUGGGACAAGUUACUCAUGGAAGAAAAAGAUUAUCUAGACACGUGCUAUGUCCUGGUCAGAUUCAUGACUACACUCAAUGGACUUGCUGAUGAUUUAAUAAUAUAAUAUACUUUCAUAGAUAUCCAAGAGAGAAAUCGAUAUCAUGCCUGGAUGUAUCGUCUAAACAUUCUAGUAAAGAGAUAAAAUAUCGAGACUCUGAAUAAUCGCACGGAUUUUCAAUCAGUGAGCAACGAGUAAUUGAAUUUUGUCAGAUCCUGGUGAAAUUAAUUUUAAAAAUAAUUAAAUUUUUAACAGCAGUCAUUGAGAUGGGUUACGUUGGUAAAAUUGACCCUCAUUUAAAUGAAUUAUUAGAACAACACUAUAUUGAAACUUUUGGUAAUUGGUAAUUUCUUUGGUGGUAUAGAAUAUUUGAUGUAUGAACAAUAGGGUGAGCCAAAAAAAACAACCUAUCGAAUUUAUGUCUUAAAAAGGACCUAUAUAUCGAGAAAAAAAUUCUCCCAUUGGGCGAAAUUUUUAGCUCAAUUUUAAAAGGUGUCGGUAGUCAUUUGAAAUUUCCCAUUUAAAUAACAUGCAAGAAAAUUUUUUUUUAUUGAAAAUAUUAUAACUUUUGAACUGUGUGAAAUAAAAAUUCGGCUCUAGAAUAUUCUUGUAUGGCAUUAAAUUUCUUUAGAAUAAGUCCUGGGAGUCGAAUUUGUAAACUUGAUAUUUCGUAUACUAACAGGCCAUCAAAGUCUAGAGUAAAUAGAAUCAUACAAUGAGAAUACUACGAGAAAAUUUGUUCUACAUGUAGUGCAAUGAAAUCACCAUCAAUAUCCAUGUUGUAACAAAUAAUAUUUUGUUAUCGAUCACAAUAAAAGAAAAGUAUUUGGAAAAUCCAAAUAAAACCUUAAAUUUGUAUGAUUCUGUUUACUCUAGACUUUGAUAGCCUGUUAGUAUACGAAAUAUCAAGUUUACAAAUUCGACUCUUAGGACUUUCUUUUAAGAAAUUUAAUGCCCUACAAGAAUAUUCUAGAGCCGAAUUUUUGUCUCACAUGGUUCAAAAGUUAUAAUAUUUUUAAUAAAAAAAAAUUUUUUUGCAUGUUAUUUAAACGAGAAAUUUCAGAUGGCUACCGACACCUUUGAAAAUUGAGCUAAAAAUUUCGCCCAAUGGGGGAAUUUUUUCUCGAUAUAUAGGUCUUUUUUAAGACGUAAAUUAGAUAGAUUGGUUUUUUUGGCUCACCCUUUUUUAAUAUUUUGGAUAUCUAUCAGUAGUUGAUUUUUUUUAAUUUUUAGUUUUUACUUUUUGUAAUUGAUAUGUUGAAAAAAAAAUCCAAAAAUUGUAAUUGUCUGUUAACUUCAGGAUGGUUAAAACAUACUGAGUUAUUACGUUGAAGUACGACACCAAUUGCCUGAUUUUGACCAUAACAUCAGUUUCGUACACAUUAUUAUUGAUAUUUAAGUAGUAAUUAUGUUGUGUUCUGUUUUAUAUUCAUUGUAUUACAGCAAAUAAAUUUUUUGAAGAUCAUAAAAAGUCAAGGUGUAGAUUUUUAUUGUGAAUUAGCUAUAGGGCCAGCGGUCACUGUUUAUUUAAAAAAAAAAAAUAAACGAUUUAUAGUUUUCUAAUCAUUUGUAUUAACUAUAAAUCUUAAAAUACUUAAAAUCUAUAAAAUACUUGUAUUAUUUAAAUACAAAAGUUACGAUAAAUUUUUAUUUAAAAUUCAAUCGUAAUACAACUGAUUUAUUCAUAUGUUUUAAUUAUAUUUAUUUAUUAUUUGUUGAUGUUAAUUGAUUACAUUUUUAAUUUAAAAAAUUAUCGAUAAUGAACAAUCACGGGAAAAGUGUUUCAAAAAACUGACUCAUGAACUUUCAGAAAUUAUCUAAAUUUAAAUAAAUAUGGAUUGAUAUUAAA